rnacentral:rRNA from 1 species
GACGAACGCUGGCGGCGGGCUUAACACAUGCCAGUCGAACGGAAAGGCCCUGCUUUUGUGGGGUGCUCGAGUGGCGAACGGGUGAGUAACACGUGAGUAACCUUCCCUUGAGUUUGGGAUAACUUCAGGAAACUGGGGCUAAUACCGGAUUGUAGCCCCUGCUGCAUGGUGGGGGUUGGAAUGUUUCGGCGGUUGGGGAUGGUCUCGCGGCUUAUCAGCUUGUUGGUGAGGUAGUGGCUUACCAAGGCUUUGACGGGUAGUCGGCCUGAGAGGGUGACCGGCCACAGUGGGACUGAAGUACGGCCCAGACUCCUACGGAAUGCAGCAGUGGGGAAUAUUGCACGAUGGGCGGAAGCCUGAUGCAGCAACGCCGCGUGCGGGAUGACGGCCUUCGGGUUGUAAACCGCUUUCGCCUGUGACGAAGCGUGAGUGACGGUAAUGUGUAAAGAAGCACCGGCUAACUACGUG